rnacentral:misc_RNA from 1 species
UUAAGUUCAGCGGGUAAUCCUACCUGAUUUGAGGUCACAUUAAUGAGAAUUUAUCCAAGUCAAUGGACAGUUGGAAGCUGAACCUGCUUCACGUCAAUAGCGUAGAUAGUUAUCACACCAAUGAACGGUCAACAAAUUGUUCCGCUAAUGCAUUUCAGGGGAGCUGACCUCAGAGAGGCCAGCAAAAAGAUCCCCCCACA